UCCUAGCUGGCUUAGUCGGUAGAGCAUAAGACUUUUGAUCUUGGAGUUGUAAGUUCAAGCCUCAUGUUGGGUA
rnacentral:tRNA from 1 species